UCCUGUCCAGGCCACAAUGGCUGGUCCUGCUUCCACUAAUACUACCUUAAUAUUGAUCUAUGGACUGACCAGCUGUUCCAGCAUUUUCUAGCACAAACACACAAAUGUAACUAAUUGUAUUACAGUCUCUCGACAUCAGGACUUGCUAUUCAGAGCACUGGAAUGCAGUCUCUCGGGACCGAAUGACUAAAGCCUUUGUGAUUAACUUCACAACGUGUUUUAAUGGCUUGUGCAUCAGUAACUCUAGCCAAUCUGUUUCGGGAACAUUACAGGACAUCCAGACAAGAUUUGAAGGGAUAGUUCAUCCUAAAAUUACAAUUCUGUCAUCAUUUACUCUCCCUCACAUUGUUCCAAACCUAAUUACAAAACCAUCCUAAAGUUCGGGGUUGCAAAGCUGAAUUUUCAGCACCAUUACUCCAGUUUUCAGUGUCACAUGAUCCUUCAGAAAUCACCAUGAGGGUCCCUUCGCUGCGGCGUUCAGGAAAACCCAUCCGAAGAUGCGUUAUCAGAGCAAACAAGGUGGCAGAAAGAGAGGACCUCAGAGUCUGAUCAGUAUUGCUGAAACAUUUAGAGAAACAUGACCAGAAGAUUCAAGAUCAUGCAUAAAUAAUGUGGAAAAUGAACCAGCCCUGCAACCACCAAUUUGAGGUGUUACUCAUGGUGUAAAAAUAGAAAACAGUAGGGUAGAGAUCACGAAGUCAACAAACGUGAUAUAAUGUUUCUUAAAGAGGUCAUAACAUUUUUAAUUUUCUUUCCCCUGAGGUCUACGUAUAAUAUUUCUUUUGUGUGCUAAAAACAGUCAUAUUGUUGUUUUCAUGACCAUUUUAGGAUAUUCAUACACUGUAAAAAAAAUAUCUUCUAACUUCCUCAUCUGCUUGAAGUAGAAAAAUCUGUUUGGUACCUUAUGUACUGAUAACCACCACCAUAAUAAUAAUACAAGUGGCACAAUACAUGAUGAAUCACUUGAAAGUUUUUUUCUGUUUUUCAAUUCAUUGUUUUGAGGUACUACAUAUGGUGACAAAUUACAUUUAAUAUGAUGUUAAGCCAUUUACACCGGUAAGGUACAUUACAGUUCACCAAGAUUUUUAUCGUAGCAUUUUUACAGUAUUUUUUCUGUAAAAACUAAAAAAUAUUUUUUACAGUGUAGAAAUAAACCAUUCAUUUUGCACUACUGCACCUUUAAGUGCCCAAAUCACAUACAAAAUUCCCAAUAACACUGACUGUGCUCCAGCUACAGUACUUUCAUGUCUAAUAUAAUUUAGUAAGUCCUCCAUCCUCUUCGAAAUUCCACAUUACAUGGUGACGAAUUCACAAAACAAUCUGCACUAAACGGUUUUAUGCAUCAGACUGAAAUGCCCAACAUCUUGUUUAAAAUAAAUACUAAAGAGUUUCUCAUUAAAAAACAACUCGCUCUGAACUUUAGCUACCACAGCAACUGUGACAUAUUGGCAAUGUGACAUUUUUAGCAGCCUAGUUUCAUUAAAUGAUCUUGUUGGACUGGGGAGGACAUUUUGAGUUCCAAUAUGUUUUUCUAGUACAUCGAGCUCUUUUAUGACCCCUUUAAAAUGAGGAGGUUGGCUGGUUAGCAUGGCCCCAUUAGGCCCUGCAGCUUGUUACAGCUCAACAAAUUCUGUGAGCGAAAAUUUAAGAUUUCAAAUCGCAUGCCUGAAUGCGUCAACCAAACAACUGACAUUGAUACGAAUAGGAAUGCAACCAGACAGCUUUCUUCAGGUAUUAUAGACUUCUUUGGAAGGAAGCUUAAUAGAGAGAAUGUUAACGGAAAAGUGAGUGAGAUACCCUGAGCGAGAUAAUGUGAGAGCGAUGAAGAAGUGGAGAACAGAGGCUUCAGUGUGCCCCGUUUCUCUCUCUCCAGACAGACGACUGCUAAAGAGAAACGGCAGCGACAAGAAAGAACGAAAGAAAUAAACGAGUGCGCUGGGCAUUCCAGCGUGACCCUGGCAACCUUUCUACAACAGACUCCCUGUGAGUUAUCCAAGGGCUGACGUUGUGCUCUCCCACACAGAGGGAAAAAAAGCCGCUUGCUGCCUUGGCUGGCAUUUCUUACCCAGGAACCAGAGAAGUGACUAAAGGUGCAUUAUAGACCAAGAAAGACAAAGACUUUGACUCACAAACAAGACCAAAUAACUCCGUCCCACUGGCCUCAGUCAAAACAACAUCAAAAGAAUGCUGCUUCUAUCUAGUUAUUGUCCUAAACGACUAAAAAAAAGAUGCUGGUCGCUGCUUCAUCCACUUGUUUUUCUGCUCCGUAACAAAGAGUGCUCAGAGAGGGACGCAUUCCACACUGAAAACAUCUGGGAUAAUUAUGAGGAAAUUACUGCUGAAAUAAGUGUCAAACCACAUGGUUUUGUUGCAGAGCUUCAGAGACUAAAGCAAGCAACAACAGACACAAAUGCCUUUAGUAAGCACUACUAAUCGAUUAUGUUACAUUGUUGUAUACUAUAAAGCCUUCUUACAUGCAGAAUUUUUACACUAGAAAAAGGCAGUGACUAUGAAGAUGUGACCUCAUGGUUAAAGAUCUGAGUUGAAAACUGAAAGAUUCAAGAUCAGCAAUGUGAUGUUUACCAAAACUCUUAUUAUUAUAAGUGUACU